ACCUCGGGAUAGGUGGGGGGCUCGGCGUACCCUGUACCGCACAUCGUCGUUAUGGCGGACCGAAUGCCCCGGGGCGGCGCAACCGACCCGUGGUCUCCCGCUUGCGGACGUUGAUGUCUCGCCCCCACAUGACCCGGGUGCCAAGAACCGUCUCCGGAGGGAGACGGGAAUCGGAUAACCGGGGGAACAGGUCAGGCCGGGAACGGAGCAGCCCUACCUGGGGCCAUGGGUGCUGUGGGGACCCGGGACGGAGGAAGCAGGCGGAUUUGGGCCAUGGGAACGAGCGUCCACCUGGGGCGCUCCCACCU
rfam:Euryarchaeota archaeon TMED141 22519, whole genome shotgun sequence.